AGAAUCAACGCUGGCGGCGUGCCUAACACAUGCAAGUCGAGCGCGAAAGGGGAGCAAUCCCCGAGUAGAGCGGCGAACGGGUGAGUAACGCGUGGGUAAUCUACCUCCGAGUGGGGAAUAACAGCGGGAAACUGCUGCUAAUACCGCGUGACAUCGUCGAGCCUUCGGGCCUGACGAUCAAAGCCGGGGACCGCAAGGCCUGGCGCUUGGAGAGGAGCCCGCGUCCGAUUAGCUAGUUGGCGGGGUAAUGGCCCACCAAGGCUCCGAUCGGUAGCC
rnacentral:rRNA from 1 species